UACGUAGGGUGCAAGCGUUAAUCGGAAUUACUGGGCGUAAAGCGUGCGCAGGCGGUUUGCUAAGACAGGUGUGAAAUCCCCGGGCUUAACCUGGGAACUGCGCUUGUUACUGGCAGGCUUGAGUGUGGCAGAGGGGGGUGGAAUUCCGACGUGUAGCAGUGAAAUGCGUAGAUAUCUGGAGGAACACCAGUGGCGAAAGCGCGUGACUGGGCCACAACUGACGCUGAGGAACGAAAGCCAGGGGAGCGAAAGGG
rnacentral:rRNA from 1 species